UGUGUGUGUGUGUGUGUGUGUGUGUGUGUGUGUGUGUGUGUGUGUGUGUGUUCAUCUCUCACCCAUAUCACCACACAAAAGGUAUGUCCACGUAUCUAUAUAAUCUAUGUAAACCCCUUGAUAUAUACAUUCACUCAGUCACUAUAGGCCAUAAUGCAUAUAAACACCCCUAUCAGUAACCGCCUAACUACCAUCAGCCUUACCAAUUGUUAACUACCCCGCGUUGUUACGUGAUGAACAGCAUCUUGUCGGUCGUCCCAGCCUCUCGUCACCCUUUCCCCGCUGGACUCUGGGUAAAGACGUGACCAACCCCCAGCCUCCAGCCUCUUGUCACACCUCCAAGCCUUUCCCCGCUGGACAUUGCUUCGAGACGUGAUGAACAACAACAGCCUCCAGCAUUUGCCACACCUCCGAGCCUCUCUCCUCGUCAUUUGCCCGGUGGACCCUGGACGAGGAGGACGUGAGGAAGAGGAGGUGAAGAUGAAGACGAGGAAUAAGUGAAACUCCUAAAUGACUGACUCUUCGAUGUCUGAGACGACCCACCCUGCCCUGCGUUAUGACCUCCCAGCAUAAAUUGAAACCGUGCGCUGAAUGGAUGACUUUUCAAUACUGGAGGUCCACUCCCUGACGCCCCGCCCUGCCCCGCCCCGCACGUCAUGACCUGCCCCGGCGUCAGUUGG